rnacentral:lncRNA from 1 species
AGCCUCCAGGGUCUGGCGCAGCUGAGGAAAUGCGCUCCUGGCCCGGGGCAGGCGGGGGCCGGGACACAGAGGCCCUUUCAGCCCCGGAAGGCUGCGGGCCCGGGCGGGGCGGGGCGGCACCCUCCAGGAGGACGCCCGGCCUUCUCCCCACUUCUGCCUGGGAGGCCCCUGGCCCGCCGGGCUUUGUCCUAUUUAUAAACGUGCUCCUGAGUAAACUCCCUGAAGAAAGGGGCCUCUGUGUGCGGCAGCCCGGCCCACAGCGCCGCCCUCAGCACACAGUAGGCGCUCAGCAUGGCCUUCUCAUGGGACUGAGGACAAGCACCGAUCCUUGGGAGCUGCCAGGCGCCUCCAGCACCCAGAACCCCUGACAUCGAGCGCCUGGACACCUGUUCCCGAAGCCCUGUGAGCUGAUGGGCUACGUAACCUCUGGGCCGCAAUGCUAGAAUAAAAUGCAUGGACACUUGUUCCAAAACGAUGGAGGGACGGUGUGGGAAACAGGCCCCAGCCCUGUCGACUGAGGGUGAAUGCACGAGUGAAAGUGACAAUACAUGGGUAAACUGAGGCAGGCGGCAUCAGCCGUAGAGGAGAGAGGAUGAGGUUCCAACCUGGGGUGUAAGAGAAACAAGAUGCUACAGGAGCAGAAGGGCCAUCAGCUGUGCUAAGAUAAAGCAGGGACCUAAAUUUGGGCCUGAGAGCUGGUCCAGGCCUGCCAGUGGCAGUGGCUCAAGACGUGGGGCGCUGUGACUGGGUCUCAGACCCAGUGAUGCCACCAACCCAGGCUUCUCCCAGGCUCCUCCCCCAGUAGCACUCUGUCACUACAGGGUGACAUCCAGGCCCUUCACGAUCUGUCUCCAGGGAGCCACCACCUCCCCCAGCCCAACAGGCCAAGCACUGACAUCCAAACCAACUGACUACCCAGGAGCCUGGGCAUGCUUUGUCCGUCUGGCCCAGGGAGGCAUCUGCCCAUCCCUGUGAAUAGCAGCGUCUCUCCUCAACAGUCAGUGACUGCCUUCUGACAGCCUGACCAGGGGGUCUGAGUGCGAGAGGCAUCUGGCAUCUCUGAAAAAGCAGCUCCAGCCUGGCUUCCAGGGCAGGGACUCUCCACUGCCAGAUCUGCAGACUCUCCACCACCAGGGCGCCUACUGCAGUUGGGAAAAGCCUCAGAUCUAUGUCCUCUCCUGUCUGGGUGGAGCAGGCACCAUGAUCCCUGUUUCAUGCACAAGGACAUUGAUGCGCAGGGACUACAGGACUUGUCCAAGGAUGCACCCGAGCCCACGUCCCACCUAGGUUCCCCAGUCUCUCCCAGACAAUCCCUCAGAAAACAGUCCUGGGCCCAGGAACCAGAGCUGCUGAGCAGGCCCAGCUACGUAAUUUGUGGAGCCCAGUGCAAAUUGAAAAUUUGAGACCCUUUGUUAAGAAAUUAUGAAGAGGCCAGGCACAAUGGCUCACAUCUGUAAUCCCAGCACUUUGGGAGGCCGAGGCAGGCAGAUCACUUGAGUCCUGGCGUUCAAGACCAGCCUGGCCAAUGUGUCGAAACCCUGUCUCUACUAAAAAUACAAAAAUUAGCCGGGCAUGGUGGCUGGUGCCUGUAAUCCCAGCUACUUGGGAGGCUGAGGCAGGGAGAAUUGCUUGAACCCAGGUGGCAGAAGUUGCAGUGAGUUGAGAUUGUGCCACUGCACUCCAGCUUGGGCGACAGAAGGAGACUCUGUCAAAAAAAGAAAAGAAAAAAAAAAUUAUGAAGAGGCUGGGCAUGGUGGCUUAUGCCUGUAAUCCCAGCACUUUGGGAGGCCGGGGUGGGUGGAUCACCUGAGGUCAGGAGUUCGAGACUAGCCUGGCCAACAUGGUGAAAUCCAGUCUCUACUAAAAAUACAAAAAUUAGCCAAGCAUGGUGGUGCAUGCCUGUAAUACCAGCUACUUGGAAGGCUGAGGCAGGAGAAUCGCUUUAACCCUAGACGCAGAGGUUGCAGUGAGCCAACAUCAUGCUACUGCACUCCAGCCUGGGCGACAGAGUGAGACUCUGUCUCAAAAAAAAAAAAAAAAUUAUGAAGGAUUUCAAGACAAUGUCAGAAGACCAUCAAACUAAGGAUGGGACCCAUGUGACUGCACAGGUCAUAUGCUCAUGAAGCUGGCCAGGAUGGCAAGUCCAGGACACCAAGCCAGGCUCUUUCCUGGGCACCGUGCACCUCUUCCCUUGCUCAAGGUCCAUCUGCUGGCCAGUUCCUGGGAUUUCUCUGACCCGCCCACUCCACACAGGCUGGACGUCCAGGGCGUCUUCAGAGAGGUCCACUAGAUAUUAGGGGACGCUGCCCAGUACUUUCCCAUCAAAGACCAAGACCACAGAACACUUCCAGAAACGCUUCCAGAAAUGCUCAAUCCUGCCAGCACUGGAAGUUUGCCUGCCUAUUUUCAGCUGAAGAACACUUGCUCUUGAAGAAAAUGUAGCAGGGCUGUCUACCUAAGGUGAAAUGUACCAGCUGACAGAUGAGAAUCUGACACUGAUCAACAUUAAAACAAUAUAUAAGAACAAAAGUCAAGGGCAUGUUUGUGGCCUCCUAGAGUCCACAUCAUGCCCAUGAUUUGUCUCACUCUGCCCUCGGAGAGCCAGAGGAGGGAACUUCUGCCUUGGCCCACCUGGGUUUGUCCCCACCCUGGAGUCAGGCCAUGUCCACUCCCCUUCCAGUCUCUGCUGGGGUCCCUGCAUGCCCUAUGCUCUCUUCCAGCUUGUCUGAAUCCUGCCCUCCAGUCUGAGUGCCACGUGGGGGGCAGCUUGCUGGGAUGCCCGAUGCCCCACAGAACUGCAGGGCUGCUGGCCUCAGACAAUAUGGCCCUCCGCUGUCAGAUCCCUCCAGAGAUGGCCUCAACUGGAAGAAAUGCCUCUCAAAAGCCCACAUCUCCCUUUCUUGGGUUCACUCAAUGACUGGCGAGCAGUGGCAUCCUGAUGAGUGACAAGGCAGGUGGAAAGAUCCAGCCCUCUUGCCUCAACUCAGGACAAUAAUACAAGACCCACCGGGCGCAGUGGCUCACGCCUGUAAUCCCAGCACUUUGGGAGGCCGAGGCGGGUGGGUCACCUGAGGUCAGGAGUUUGAGACCAGCCUGGCCAACAUGGUGAAACCCCAUCUCUACUAAAAAUACAAAAAUUAGCUGGGCGUGGUGGUGUGUGCCUGUAAUCCCAGCUACUUGGGAGGCUGAGGCAGGAGAAUUGCUUGAACCCAGGAGGCAGAGGUUGUAGUGAGCCGAGACUGUGCCACUGCACUCCAGCCUGGGUGACAGAGUGAGACACUGUCUCAAAUUAAAAAAUAAUAAUAAUAAUAAUAAUAAAGAGUAAUACAAGACCAUCCCUGCUCCAGAGCUCCCCUUGGGGUCAGCAGGGCCUUCCAAGUUCUCCCUCUGCCCCUCCUGUGCCUUCCCCCGGAGAUGCUGACCCCAGGAGCACUCCCUGAUGAACCUCCUGCCUGGCAGUCUCCCUCUCAGAGCUGGCUUUCUAGGAAAGCUGACCUGCCUCCACGAAGCCACGUCUCUCCUACCUGGGGCACCUGUGGGCGCCUCCCACCUCUUCAAAUGCCCUGUAACAGUCAUCCAUUCAGCAGAUCCUCACUGAAGGCCUACUAUGCACCAGAUGCUGUUCUGGGUGCUGACGGUAAAGCAAAAUGAAGCAGACACCCCUGCCCUCAUGGAGCUCAGGCCUGCAGAUGAGCAGGCAAAAAGCAACCAAAAAUUUAAUGUGAUGACGUUAAACAUCAUACCACAGAAUGAUACAACAGAGAAUCUGAUUGUGGCUGGGGGCACCUGCUUUAGAACAAACUUCCUCUGGGUCAAGAAGGGUCUCUCUGAGGAGCCACGUCUGAAUCAGAGGCCAGUUCCUCGAUAAGUUGAAAGAUGAACAUUAACCAGGCAAGUUCAAAGGCUCUUGGAUGGGAAGGAAAUUGAGGUGUUGGAUUCAAGGGAACAAAAGUGAAGCUGAUGACGGGAGAUGAGGUGAGAUGUAGGACCAGAGGGCCGGGGAGGUUGCCUCAUGCUUGUAAUCCCAGCACUUUGGGAAGCCAAGGAGGGCAGAUCACUUGAGGUCAGGAGUUUGAGACUAGCCUGGCCAACAUGGUGAAACCUCAUCUCUACUAAAAAUACAAAAAAAAAAUUUAGCCAGGCAUGGUGGCGUGUGCCUGUAGUCCCAGCUACUUGGGAGGCUGAGUCAUGAGAAUCACUUGAACCUGGAAGGCAGAAGUUAGAGUGGUCCGAGAUCAUGCCCCUGGGUGACACAGUGAGACUGUCUCAAAAAAAAGAAAAAAAGAAAAAAAGAAGCAGGACCAGAGGAUGCAGGGCCUUGAGGAAGAAUCUAGAAGAAUCUAGCUUUUAUUGUCAGUGAGGUGGGAGCGUCAGAUGGUUCUAAGCAGGGCAGUCAUGGAAUCUUUUUUUUUUUUUUUCUUUUUGAGACAGAGUUUCGUACUUGUUGCCCAGGCUGGAGUGCAAUGGCACAACCUCAGCUCACUGCAACCUCCGCCUCCUGAUUCAAGCGAUUCUCCUGCCUCAGCCUCCCGAGUAGCUGGGAUUACAGGCAUACGCCACCAUGCCCGGCUAAUUUGUAUUUUUAGUAGAGAUGGGUUUUCUCCAUGUUGGUCAGGCUGGUCUCAAACUCUCAACCUCAGGUGAUCCACCCGCCUCGGCCUCCCAAAGUGCUGGGAUUACAGGUGUGAGCCACCGCGCCCAGCAUGGAAUCUUUACCUGUUUCAAGCCAUCACUGGCGGUCAGACAGAAAAUGAAUUCAUCACAUGAAAUACCUGCUGUUCGGCACAUGAGCAUUUCUGGAAGUAUUUCUGGAAGUGUUCUAUGGAAUGGGUGUAAGGUUUUGGGUUUUGUUUUGUUUUUUUUCCCAUUAGUUUUUUUUUGUUUUGGGGAUGUUUUUAGAGAUUGGGUCUCAUGUUGCCCAGGCUGGACUCAAACUCCUGGGUUCAGAUGAUUCUCCCACCUCAGCCUCCCGAGUAGCUGGGACUACAGGUACGCACCACUGCACGUGGCUGAACAUUAGCUUUAACCUGCAUUUGUGCAAUAUCCUGUCUGCUGUUUAGGAGCUGGAGUCCAGCACUUGGACUUGUUUGGAUCCCCAACUGCCUUGCUCUGAGUAGGUAUUCAAUGAACAUUUGAUGAGUUGAUGCUUCUGUUUUAGCUAUGAUCUUCUGGGUUUGUUUUGUUUUGUUUUGUUUUUACACAGAAUGUUGUCCAGGCUUGAGUGCAGUAGCACAACCUCGGCUCACUACAACCUCUUCGUCCCGAGUUCAAGUGAUUCUCCUGCCUCAGCCUCCCGAGUAGCUGGGGCUACAGGUGCCCGCCACCAUGCUGGGCUAAGUUUUUUGUAUGUUUAGUAGAGACAGGCCUUCACCAUGUUGGCCAGGCUGGUCUGGAACUCCUGACCUCAAGUGAUCUGCCCACCUCAGCCUCCCAAAGCGCUGAGAUUACAGGCGUGACCCACCUUGCUAGGCCUGAUCUUCUGGUUUUGCUUCUCAAAGUGUGGUCCUCAGACCAGUAUCCGCACCAGCUGGGAGCUUGUAGGAAAUGGAGAAUCCUAGGCCCCACCCAGGCCUACUAAAUCAGAAUCUGCCAUUUAACAAGAUCCCCAAGAAAUCCUAAUGAAUGGUAAAGUUUAAGAAGCACUUCUAGAGGGCAGAAUAACUCAAGGGCCUCCGAAAAACCCGUAACAGACAGCAGGAAGUGGGCAGGGGUUAAAAGAGAGGCAGCCCUUAAGCCCAGCUGGGAUGGAAGAAGAUUUUGAUUGGAGGUAAGAGAAGGUACAUUCCAGGCUAAGACAAGGCUGGGAAGGAGGAGGCAAGUGUGAGGGUGGAGGGCCAGUGGUCUGAAGCAGCCAGCCCCAGGGGCCAGCAAAAUGAGGAGGUAGAAAUUCCCAGAAAGGCAGGAGACACCAGUUGCAGUGGCUCACGCCUGUAAUCCCAACACUUUGGGAGGCCGAAGCGGGUGGAUCACCUGAGGUCAGGAGUUGGAGACCAGCCUGGCCAACAUGGUGAAACCCAGUCUCUACUAAAAUACAAAAAUUAGCUGGGCAUGGUGGCAGGCACCUGUAAUCCCAGCUACUGGGGAGGCUGAAGCAGAAGAAUUGAUUGAACCCGGGAGGCGGAGCUUGCAGUGAGCUGAAAUUGCACCACUGCACUCCAGCCUGGGAGACAGGGCAAGACUCAGUCUCAAAAAAAAAAAAAAAAAAAGGCAGGAGAAAGCUCUCUCAGAGAGCAGCCCCUCAGAUGGCCAAACAAGACUGGGGAGUUAGGUGGUGUGAGGCUGAAUUCUGGCUCUGCCUCCCCCUAGCUGAGUGACCUUGGGCAAGUUAUCAUACUUAACUCUCUGAGCCUCUACAAAGUGGGGAUAAUAAUAGAUGUGCCAGCUGUUGGGGGGGCAGGAAGAUUAAAUGAGAUAACACAUAUAAAACGCUUGGUACAGGAGAAAGGUGGGGAGCGCUCAGUAAAUGGUAACUGUGAUGACGAAUAAAGUGCGGGCUGGAUUGGGAAGGCCAGGAGGGGGCACUGAAGGCUUUUGAGACGGGGAGUACUGCAGCCUGUGUUUUAGGGAGAUAAAUCCAGCGGGUGCACCAGAGACAAGGACAGGGGCAUGGCCAGAGGCUGCGGGCAGAUGGGAGGUUGGUGUAAUAGGGGCAAGACAUUGAGAGGUGCCUUGGAGCUCAGAGAGGGGGAAGCAGCUGCCCUGGGGCAGAGAGAGGCUGGGGCAGGAUGGCUCUGGGCUUCUAGGCUAGGAGGUGGGCUGAGGGCAGGCAGGCUCUGGGAGAGACGUGCUGUGGGAAGUGUCUGGCUGGGGUGGGGUGGAGAGGGGGGCUUCAGGGGACAGCAGAGAGGGGAGGUCUGAGGCAUGGGGAGGAUCAGGACCAGAGUCAGAGAGAAAACUUUCAGCCACAGGGGUUUAUGGAUGCCUCAGGAUAGGUGAGGCUGCUCCCAAGAAGGAGGUCCUGAGGGAGCAGGAGGUGAGCUCAGCUGCACACAGAGGACUCAGUUGGGGAGACUCCCUCAAAAGUGGCAGCCACCCUGAGUCACUAAGUCUGUGACUCACCUCUGGCAGAGAGGAGGCAGGACAAGUAACAAAGCUGGUGCUUCCUGGGAUGUUAUCUGUGGGCCAGUCCCUGGUUUGCAAAUCCCUUCCGUGCAUGAACUUAUCUAAAGCCCUAUGAGGUGGAGCUAGUACCGGCACUAUCCCAUACUGCAGAUGGAGAAAUUGAGGCCCUGUGCGGUGGGGGUUAUUCCAGACUCUUCGGCCAGGACACAGGCAUUUGGCUAAACCUAGUGUUUGUGGCAGGGUCUGUUCUGAUUGGCCGAUGCCUGUCCUACUGGUUAGUCAAUGUUUUGAAGGUCACCCUGGUUACACAGCUGGAGGAGGCAGAAUCCCAACUAACCCCUGGGGCUGGAGCCCUGGUCUGAACCAGGAUCCUCUCUCCGUCUAGCGCCGCAGCGCACCUCAGGACAAGUAAUGUGCGUCGAAGGGCUUUGGAAACUGCAAGGCACAGUAUAAAUAACAGGUUCCUUCAUUCCUCCUGGGCAGGAACUUUGGCCUCAACAGUUCCUUCUUUGUUGAGGCCAAAGAAGCUGGGCCAUGAGAAGGCAGAGGAAACGCUGCUGUGGGGAACCAGCAUUCUCUCUGCUUACUCAACGGGGAAAGUGAGUCAGAAGGGAAGCCUCCCUGAGUGGAGCCCCAUGGUCAGCCCCUGGGAGGUUCUCACGUGCCAGACGCCAUCCGGCACUAACCAGGUUAGCCUGGACUUGUCCCCAGGGCCCGUCCAGGCUCUCCUGCAACUGGCCACCAGGGGGCGCCGCUCCCCCAGCCUUCCUCUUACUGAACCUACCCCCCACCACCCCCCCAACAACCUGCUCGCGAGAAACCAGGCCUUGGAAGGAGUCCCGGGGAGCAGGCACCAGAGACUUUGAAAAGUGGCAAAAACGCGGGAGAUGCUGAGUGGAGGUGGGAGUUCGUCCCUGCCCCACUGGGAGGGAGAAGGGAAGGGGGGACGGAAACCUACAUAUACCCAUUUUCAAUUCCCAAACCAGCCCUGUGGAGGAGUGCCUGCUCCCAUUUUACAGAUGAGGAAUUUGAGGCCCAAAGAUGUUGGGUAAGAUCAAGAGGCUAGGGACAGGCAGCGCUGCGUCAUUUGCUUCCAAGGUCAGUUCCUAAUGGGACCACAAGCAAAUGCUAGCUCAUUUGGCCCUGUUGCCUAGCGGGGUCUCCCCCCCCGCCCCCCGUUGAUCCUAUGUUCUGAGUCGUGGCCAACACCACAACCUAUUCCCCCACUGUGUUCCAGCAACAAUUCCAGCUGCCCCUUCUCCAACCUGAACUUUCUGGAAGCCUGGGCACCUGCUUCAUUGUUUUCCAGGGACCCCCAUCAGCCACCCAUCCCACACCCUCCCCAUCUGGGCAGAGCCGGGAGCCCCCUCUGCAGCCCUGUCCUGCUUGACAUCCCUUCCCCACCCCAGGGACCCCGCGGGGUCAGGCUUUGCUCCUCGACACCCCACGGUAGGCAGCAGCACGAAUAAACAAUGGGACAUUUGAACCAGGAAGAGCCUGUGGUUGAGGCCAAAACAGGCACCAAGGUUUUCUCUCAGCUCCUACCAACUCCUUUUAUGGCCUCUGGGCCCAGUUCCUUCUUCAUAAAAAGUCAGAACUGGAAAAGGCCUCGAGUCACUGGGUCCAACCUGAGCCAACACUUUCCUUUUCUAUAGAAAAAACCCGUCGUGCUGCCUCCCCGGCUCCAGCCAGGUUUACAGCACCAGGAUCUGGGCCGGCAGCGUCCUUCACCGGAGGGAAAUUCUAACCCUGGGGCGGGACCUGGGCACGUCCGCCGGGGAGGCCCAGUCCCUGCACCUGUAAAAUGGGGGGCGGGCCUAACCGUAGCUUCUUCAAAGGCCCCCCGCCCCCAGCUUGAGGUUCUGUAUCUAGCCCCAGGGACCCGCCCUAACGAACAUCUAUUUCGGCCCCCUCUGUCCAACCGUUUCCUUCCCUCUGCCCUGAGAGCUGUAGGCAGCUCGCGUGUGUGGGCGCACGUGCGUGCAAGUGAUCAUGUGUGUGCAGGAGCCGGUGGCGGCCAGACGCAACUCGGCACAGGCGUCCGCGCCUGGCUCUGUGCGCGCCCCCGAGAUGCCGGCCUCCCCUAGUCAACCAGGUGGCCGUGUGCAGCCCCGGGUGUGCUC